AUCUACAGCCAAACUACCCCGAAUACACCUGAUCUCAGAAGCUAAACAGGGUUGUGCCUGGUUAGUAUUUAGAUGGGGGUAUCUUGUUGGUGAUU
rnacentral:rRNA from 14 species